rnacentral:rRNA from 1 species
CCUACGGGGUGCAGCAGUGAGGAAUAUUGGUCAAUGGACGAGAGUCUGAACCAGCCAAGUAGCGUGAAGGAUGACUGCCCUAUGGGUUGUAAACUUCUUUUAUAUGGGAAUAAAAUGUUCCACGUGUGGGAUUUUGUAUGUACCAUAUGAAUAAGGAUCGGCUAACUCCGUGCCAGCAGCCGCGGUAAUACGGAGGAUCCGAGCGUUAUCCGGAUUUAUUGGGUUUAAAGGGAGCGUAGGUGGAUUGUUAAGUCAGUUGUGAAAGUUUGCGGCUCAACCGUAAAAUUGCAGUUGAAACGGGCAGUCUUGAGUACAGUAGAGGUGGGCGGAAGUCGUGGUGUAGCGGUGAAAUGCUUAGAUAUCACGAAGAACUCCGAUUGCGAAGGCAGUUCACUGGACUGCAACUGACACUGAGGCUCGAAAGUGUGGGUAUCAAACAGGAUUAGAUACCCCGGUAGUC